AACGAACGCUGGCGGCAGGCUUAACACAUGCAAGUCGAACGCUCCGCAAGGAGAGUGGCAGACGGGUGAGUAACACGUGGGAACGUACCCUUUACUACGGAACAACUCCGGGAAACUGGAGCUAAUACCGUAUGUGCCCUUUGGGGGAAAGAUUUAUCGGCAAAGGAUCGGCCCGCGUUGGAUUAGCUAGUUGGGGGGGUAAAGGCCUACCAAGGCGACGAUCCAUAGCUGGUCUGAGAGGAUGGUCAGCCACAUUGGGACUGAGACACCGCCCAAACUCCUACGGGGGGCAGCAGUGGGGAAUAUUGGACAAUGGGCGGCAGCCUGAUCCAGCCAUGCCGCGUGUGUGAUGAAGGCCUUAGGGUUGUAAAGCACUUUCACCGGAGAAGAUAAUGACGGUAUCCGGAGAAGAAGCCCCGGCUAACUUCGUGCCAGCCGCCGCGGUAA
rnacentral:rRNA from 1 species